rnacentral:lncRNA from 1 species
AGUCCCUGGUCGGGGGUUUUCGAACGUGGGUGAUGAAUUCUGUGUUCUGAUCAGUUACUCAGGAGGCGCCCGAAUCCCUUCCAAAUUUCCCUAGAAAUCUGUGUAAAGCGUGGAGGGGAAAACAUUUGCAUAAAAAGUGAAGGAGCACGCCAAGGAGCACCAAAGACCAAGAGGAGACCAGAUGAGUUUUCAGAGCAGUUCUCAGACACCCAGGACGCAUGUCAUCCUUUGCCUCGUGCUUUCUGCAAUGUUGCUGCUCACCUUCAUCUUUCUAUUAACCCUCGCCAUAACAAUCCCCUCCUGACACCACCACCUCUUCUCCAUUAAUCACCCACUCAGCUCUCUCUGAGGUGUCUCUCCCAUGGGGCAUGGCUUUGUCUCUGGCAGGCUCCCCUUGAAUCAUAUCCAGAUGGCUACCAUUUACUUCCUUUUCCUCUGUCUCCUCUUCACACCAGACUCAGUUAACACUCAGUCCCUUGAUCAGGAAAACCGGAGAAAAAGUUCCCUUUUCUAAAAAGGAAGUCAGAGCGUGCUCUGCUGGAGCCACCAUGCUCAGGGAAGAGACCCAAAAUACAGCUGAGUGUGAUGUCAUUGAAACCAGAUGGAAAGACCAGAAAUCCCUUAAUCCCAGUCAGACCUAGUGAAGCUUUACUUGUGACUGUUGGGACUGAUUAAGAAUAUGGGGGCAGGGAGGAAGAGAGGGAGAAAGAUGUUCUGAAUUGGAUUGCCCUUCAAUACAGAAUGGAAUCCCCUAGUUUUUUUGUCCUCCAAUUAAAUGUGCAUUUCAUUCUACCA